rnacentral:rRNA from 1 species
AUACGUAGGUGGCAAGCGUUGUCCGGAAUUAUUGGGCGUAAAGCGCAUGUAGGCGGUUUGGUAAGUCGGUCGUGAAAAUGCGGUGCUUAACGCCGUAUGGGGAUCGAAACUGCUGAACUUGAGUGCAGGUGAGGAAAGGGGAACUCCCAGCGUAGCGGUGAAAUGCGUAGAUAUUGGGAAGAACACCGGUGGCGAAGGCGCCUUUCUGGACUGUGUCGGACGCUCAGAUGCGAAAGCCAGGGUAGCGAACGGGAUUAGAUACCCCGGUAGUCCUGGCCGUAAACGAUGGGUACUAGGUGUGGGAGGUAUCGACUCCUUCCGUGCCGGAGUUAACGCAAUAAGUCCCCCGCCUGGGGAGUACGGCCGCAAGGCUUAAACUCAAAUGAAUUGACGGGG